GAUAAACAAAGGUGAAAUGAUUAUAAUCAUUAUCUAUACCUGCAGUUCCAGCAUGUGGAGAAUGAACUGGAUUUUCUGGAUUCGAGCAAAUUCCAGAGUCCACAGAGCUACACUCGAGCUGUCCGGCAGGUUCAACACAUGAAGGACCUUCUGGAGAAUGCUAUCCUCUGCUCCAAUUCAGUUUCAGAAAGACAAUCCUAUGAAGUUUGCUGAUUGCAUUCCCAAAUUGCACGUCCUCGUUAAGUGAAAUGGUUUAACCUGAGGUUCACUACACCUCAGGCGAGGGCAGACGUGGAGAAGGAGAGUCCUUCAUGGUGAUUGGACGCAUGCUGUUGGUGUCAUUCAGCAUUACAAACCAACUGUCCAGCCACUGAGCUACAAUUCGAUAAGGUACACAAUUUGUUCCUACAUCUAAUUGAAGGGAAAGAUUUCAAAAACAUGAACUGUCAGCAAGCUGACUGCAGUGUUCAAACCCUCCAGCUACCCAGGUCCAAGACUGAACUUGACCGGUGAUCCAGAAUCUGAAACUAAGGUUUUGAAUGCCAGCUUUUAAUCAAAAUAAAUGAGCAAUGUGCUUAGGUCUUUGCGUAAAACAUUUGCCUUUUGUCCCAAGAAUAAAAGUCAAUUACAGCAUUUUGAGGAAAGGGAACAUCAGGGAAGAGGGAUUUACUACAUAAAGAUUUUUUUAAAAUUUCCACAGGUUAAU